rnacentral:rRNA from 1 species
GACGAACGCUGGCGGCGCGCUUAAUACAUGCAAGUCGAACGAGAAGCCAGAGCUUGCUCUGGUGGAAAGUGGCGAACGGGUGAGUAACACGUGAGAAACCUGCCCCAAAGAUUGGGAUAAGCCUUGGAAACGAGGUCUAAUACCAAAUACCUUCCUUUUAACACAUGUUAAAAAGAAGAAAUGCUCCGGCGCUUUGGGAUGGUCUCGCGAUCUAUCAGCUUGUUGGUGAGGUAACGGCUCACCAAGGCAUCGACGGAUAGCUGGUCUGAGAGGAUGUCCAGCCACAUUGGAACUGAGACACGGUCCAAACUCCUACGGGAGGCAGCAGUAGGGAAUCUUGCACAAUGAGGGAAACCUUGAUGCAGCGACGCCGCGUGCGGGACGAAGGCCCUAGGGUUGUAAACCGCUUUCAGUAGGGACGAAAGUGACGGUACCUACAGAAGAAGCCCCGGCAACUAUGUGCCAGCAGCCGCGGUAAU